rnacentral:rRNA from 1 species
AGUGAACGCUGGCGGUAGGCCUAACACAUGCAAGUCGAACGGCAGCACAGUAAGAGCUUGCUCUUACGGGUGGCGAGUGGCGGACGGGUGAGGAAUACAUCGGAAUCUACUUUUUCGUGGGGGAUAACGUAGGGAAACUUACGCUAAUACCGCAUACGACCUACGGGUGAAAGCAGGGGAUCUUCGGACCUUGCGCGAUUGAAUGAGCCGAUGUCGGAUUAGCUAGUUGGCGGGGUAAAGGCCCACCAAGGCGACGAUCCGUAGCUGGUCUGAGAGGAUGAUCAGCCACACUGGAAGUGAGACACGGUCCAGACUCCUAAGGGAGGCAGCAGUGGGGAAUAUUGGACAAUGGGCGCAAGCCUGAUCCAGCCAUACCGCGUGGGUGAAGAAGGCCUUCGGGUUGUAAAGCCCUUUUGUUGGGAAAGAAAAGCAGCAGGUUAAUACCCCGCUGUUCCGACGGUACCCAAAGAAUAAGCACCGGCUAACUUCGUG